rnacentral:lncRNA from 1 species
CUCCUGCCUUCCUCCAUCAGUGCCACAUUGGCAUCCUCUUAUGCAGUCAGGCUUCAGGGCUGAUGGGUUCAGAACCGAGGGCUUCUGGCUCUGAGUGAGGUCCUGCUGCAAGGUUUCCUAGAUGAGCCACUGAGACUCUAAUAAGAUCCAGUGGAAAUAACCAGGCUCUCGUCGGAAUAUAAGUCCCAAGGGAAGCUGUGCCAGUCUUGUGGGCGACUGCCUGACUUCUCCUUUCAUUUCAGCACCAUGAAGCUUCUCACGGGCCUGGUUUUCUGCUCCUUGGUCCUGAGUGUCAGCAGCCGAAGCUUCUUUUCGUUCCUUGGCGAGGCUUUUGAUGGGGCUCGGGACAUGUGGAGAGCCUACUCUGACAUGAGAGAAGCCAAUUACAUCGGCUCAGACAAAUACUUCCAUGCUCGGGGGAACUAUGAUGCUGCCAAAAGGGGACCUGGGGGUGCCUGGGCUGCAGAAGUGAUCAGGUAACUGGAGCUCCUGGGACGUUAGGGCUGGGUGAGCAGAGCUUGCCUGCCUUGGACAGUCAGGAGGGAGACGAGCUCCUUGUGGAGAAGUUAGAGGCUGUGGUCCCUCCUCUUCUUGCCCUCUCUCUGCCUCUGUGCUCAGUGUGAGGGUCUGAGUGGAUGGUAGGAGUGAGUGAUUCCUCCCCCUCCCCCUCUGGGUGCUGUUCAUCCAGCCUAGGGGUGCCCAGCCUGUCUGAAUGGGGCAGUGCCCAGGCAGGGUCAGUGUUUUCACUCCUCCUUCCUUGGCCUUUCUGGGCUCCUCUCUGAGCCCUCCCUUGGAACGGGGAGAAUGGGAGGGUGAGCUGUUGCUCACUGGCCUGAUGAUUAAUCUCCUUCUUGCCUGCCUGGACUACAGCAAUGCCAGAGAGAAUAUCCAGAGACUCACAGGCCGUGGUGCGGAGGACUCGCUGGCCGAUCAGGCUGCCAAUAAAUGGGGCAGGAGUGGCAGAGACCCCAAUCACUUCCGACCUGCUGGCCUGCCUGAGAAAUACUGAGCUUCCUCUUCACUCUGCUCUCAGGAGACCUGGCUAUGAGGCCCUCGGGGCAGGGAUACAAAGUUAGUGAGGUCUAUGUCCAGAGAAGCUGAGAUAUGGCAUAUAAUAGGCAUCUAAUAAAUGCUUAAGAGGUG